rnacentral:rRNA from 1 species
CACGGGGGGAGCAAGCGUUGUUCGGAAUCACUGGGCGUAAAGGGCGUGUAGGCGGUUCGGUAAGUGAGAUGUGAAAUCCUCCGGCUCACCCGGAGACCUGCAUCUCAAACUGCCGGACUAGAGUAUGGGAGAGGACAAGGGAAUUCCUGGUGUAGCGGUGAAAUGCGUAGAUAUCAGGAGGAACACCGGUGGCGAAAGCGCUUGUCUGGCCCAACACUGACGCUGAGGCGCGAAAGCUAGGGGAGCAAACGGG